rnacentral:tRNA from 1 species
GCCGCUAUAGCUCAGUGGCUAGAGCGUUGGUCUCGUAAAACCAAAGGUCGCAAAAGCCCGAAUCUUGUUGGCGGCA